rnacentral:rRNA from 1 species
GAUGAACGCUGGCGGCGUGCCUAAUACAUGCAAGUCGAGCGAACAGACGAGGAGCUUGCUCCUUCUACGUUAGCGGCGGACGGGUGAGUAACACGUAUGUAACCUACCUAUAAGACUGGGAUAACUUCGGGAAACCGGAGCUAAUACCGGAUAAUAUUUCGAACCGCAUGGUUCGAUAGUGAAAGAUGGCUUUGCUAUCACUUAUAGAUGGACCUGCUCCGUAUUAGCUAGUUUGUAAGGUAACGGCUUACCAAGGCAACGAUACGUAGCCGACCUGAGAGGGUGAUCGGCCACACUGGAACUGAGACACGGUCCAGACUCCUACGGGAGGCAGCAGUAGGGAAUAUUCCGCAAUGGGCGAAAGCCUGACGGAGCAACGCCGCGUGAGUGAUGAAGGUCUUCGGAUCGUAAAACUCUGUUAUUAGGGAAGAACAAACGUGUAAGUAACUGUGCACGUAUUGACGGUACCUAAACAGAAAGCCACGGCUAACUACGUG